AGAGUUUGAUCAUGGCUCAGGACGAACGCUGGCGGCGUGCCUAAUACAUGCAAGUAGAACGCUGAAGAGAGGAGCUUGCUCUUCUUGGAUGAGUUGCGAACGGGUGAGUAACGCGUAGGUAACCUGCCUUGUAGCGGGGGAUAACUAUUGGAAACGAUAGCUAAUACCGCAUAACAAUGGAUGACACAUGUCAUUUAUUUGAAAGGGGCAAUUGCUCCACUACAAGAUGGACCUGCGUUGUAUUAGCUAGUAGGUGAGGUAACGGCUCACCUAGGCGACGAUACAUAGCCGACCUGAGAGGGUGAUCGGCCACACUGGGACUGAGACACGGCCCAGACUCCUACGGGAGGCAGCAGUAGGGAAUCUUCGGCAAUGGGGGCAACCCUGACCGAGCAACGCCGCGUGAGUGAAGAAGGUUUUCGGAUCGUAAAGCUCUGUUGUAAGUCAAGAACGAGUGUGAGAGUGGAAAAUUCACACUGUGACGGUAGCUUACCAGAAAGGGACGGCUAACUACGUGCCAGCAGCCGCGGUAAUACGUAGGUCCCGAGCGUUGUCCGGAUUUAUUGGGCGUAAAGCGAGCGCAGGCGGUUUGAUAAGUCUGAAGUUAAAGGCUGUGGCUCAACCAUAGUUCGCUUUGGAAACUGUCAAACUUGAGUGCAGAAGGGGAGAGUGGAAUUCCAUGUGUAGCGGUGAAAUGCGUAGAUAUAUGGAGGAACACCGGUGGCGAAAGCGGCUCUCUGGUCUGUAACUGACGCUGAGGCUCGAAAGCGUGGGGAGCGAACAGGAUUAGAUACCCUGGUAGUCCACGCCGUAAACGAUGAGUGCUAGGUGUUGGAUCCUUUCCGGGAUUCAGUGCCGCAGCUAACGCAUUAAGCACUCCGCCUGGGGAGUACGACCGCAAGGUUGAAACUCAAAGGAAUUGACGGGGGCCCGCACAAGCGGUGGAGCAUGUGGUUUAAUUCGAAGCAACGCGAAGAACCUUACCAGGUCUUGACAUCCCGAUGCUAUUUCUAGAGAUAGAAAGUUACUUCGGUACAUCGGUGACAGGUGGUGCAUGGUUGUCGUCAGCUCGUGUCGUGAGAUGUUGGGUUAAGUCCCGCAACGAGCGCAACCCCUAUUGUUAGUUGCCAUCAUUCAGUUGGGCACUCUAGCGAGACUGCCGGUAAUAAACCGGAGGAAGGUGGGGAUGACGUCAAAUCAUCAUGCCCCUUAUGACCUGGGCUACACACGUGCUACAAUGGUUGGUACAACGAGUUGCGAGUCGGUGACGGCAAGCUAAUCUCUUAAAGCCAAUCUCAGUUCGGAUUGUAGGCUGCAACUCGCCUACAUGAAGUCGGAAUCGCUAGUAAUCGCGGAUCAGCACGCCGCGGUGAAUACGUUCCCGGGCCUUGUACACACCGCCCGUCAA
rnacentral:rRNA from 1 species